GUGUUGUAAGAAAGGAGAGAAGUUUAGCACUCCCCUUGACAAGGAUGAAAUGAACACAUAAGGCUAUAUAAAAUAAAAAAUUCCCAAUUCCCCUAAAAAGCGAAACAGGGAACCCU